rnacentral:rRNA from 1 species
UACGGGGGGGGCAAGCGUUGUUCGGAAUUACUGGGCGUAAAGGGCUCGUAGGUGGCCAACUAAGUCAGACGUGAAAUCCCUCGGCUUAACCGGGGAACUGCGUCUGAUACUGGAUGGCUUGAGUUCGGGAGAGGGAUGCGGAAUUCCAGGUGUAGCGGUGAAAUGCGUAGAUAUCUGGAGGAACACCGGUGGCGAAGGCGGCAUCCUGGACCGGCACUGACACUGAGGAGCGAAGGCCAGGGGAGCAAACGGG